rnacentral:rRNA from 1 species
GACGAACGCUGGCGGCGUGCUUAACACAUGCAAGUCGAACGGUAAGGCCCUUCGGGGUACACGAGUGGCGAACGGGUGAGUAACACGUGGGUGAUCUGCCCUGCACUUCGGGAUAAGCCUGGGAAACUGGGUCUAAUACCGGAUAGGACCACUGCCUGCAUGGGUGGUGGUGGAAAGCUUUUGCGGUGUGGGAUGGGCCCGCGGCCUAUCAGCUUGUUGGUGGGGUGAUGGCCUACCAAGGCGACGACGGGUAGACGGCCUGAGAGGGUGACCGGCCGCACGGGGACUGAGAUACGGCCCAGACUCCUACGGGAGGCAGCAGUGGGGAAUAUUGCACAAUGGGCGCAAGCCUGAUGCAGCGACGCCGCGUGAGGGAUGACGGCCUUCGGGUUGUAAACCUCUUUCAGCACCGACGAAGCGCAAGUGACGGUAGGUGCAGAAGAAGGACCGGCCAACUACGUGCCAGCCGCCGCGGUAA